rnacentral:rRNA from 1 species
GUGCAGCAGGCGAGAAUUUUUCUCAAUGGGGGCAACCCUGAAGGAGCGACGCCGCGUGGAGGAUGAAGGCUUUCGGGUUGUAAACUCCUGUCAUUUGAGAACAAGUGCCGGCAAGUAACUACUGCCGGCUUGAUAGUAUCAGAAGAGGAAGGGACGGCUAACUCUGUGCCAGCAGCCGCGGUAAUACAGAGGUCCCAAGCGUUGUUCGGAUUCAUUGGGCGUAAAGGGUGCGUAGGUGGCGCGCUAAGUCAGGUGUGAAAUCUCGGGGCUUAACUCCGAAACUGCAUCUGAUACUGGCGUGCUUGAGGACUGGAGAGGAGACUGGAAUUCACGGUGUAGCAGUGAAAUGCGUAGAGAUCGUGAGGAAGACCAGUGGCGAAGGCGGGUCUCUGGACAGUUCCUGACACUGAGGCACGAAGGCCAGGGGAGCAAACGGGAUUAGAUACCCCGGUAGU